GGGACAGUGGCACAACGGAUAACGCGCCUGACUAUGGAUCAGGAUAUCCCUGUUCAAAUCCUGGCUGCCUCG
rnacentral:tRNA from 1 species